rnacentral:lncRNA from 1 species
GAAUGCUGAAUCAAACUUGCAAACUCUGCCACCGUUGCUGCUCAUGUCUCUUACUGCACUCUCCUCACCCCAAGUACUCUUUUUUAAUGAUCACAAAAAAUAUAUAUAUUAAGUUGGGUUCUGCAAGAAAAAUUGAUCAGCAACUUAUAGAGCUGAGAGAUUGUUGAGCUCUUGAGACUUUAAGUGACACUUUGUUCGUUGGGUUUGGGUAAUUAUAUAGAUAAAUAAUAGAGAGCUGUUAAAAAGGUAGAAUUAUUUUUUUGGAAAAUUAUCUCAGCAUCUUUUCUUUUAUUACAUGUACAUUUAACUACUAUAAAGUUUUGACAUAUUUUUUUACACCACCUUUAUUUCUAAACUUAUAUCAAUCAAUCACUUUUACAUUAACAAAUUUAGAAUCCAUUAAAUAAUUUAAAUAAGAUGACCGUUUGCUCCUAAAUGAAUAAAAAAAAUUAUUUUAUCCUACAAAAUUUUGAAAAAUAAAAAAUAUAAUUACAAGAAUAUCCUUAAAUUUAAUAAAACAAAUAAAUAUCAAAAUCCAAGAUGUUAAUUUUGUAACUAUAAUUUUUAAAUUAUACUGAAAAUUAUCAUUUAAAAAUUAUAAUUACGAAAAUGAACAUCUUGAAUUUAAAGAUUUAUUUGUUUUAUUAGAUUCAGGGUAUUCUUAUAAUUAUAUUUUUUAUUUUUCCAAAUUUUGUAGGAUAAAAUAGACUUUAAAUUUAUUUACAUGUAAAGCAAUCAUUUUAUUUAAAUUAUUUAAGGGAUUCUAACUUUACUAGUGUCAAAGUAAUUGAUUGAUACAAGUUUAAAUAUGAAAGUGGUGCAGAGAAUAUAUCAAACUUUUGUAGUGGUUGGAUAUACAUAUAAUUAAAGAGAAGUGAUACAAAGAUAAUUUUUCUAAUUUAAAAAAAAAUGAGGUUGUAUUUGUUUUUUGGGAAAGUGAAAUCAUUACUAAUUUAGAUUGUAGGUUUAUGGACAAAGGGAGGCUUUUUUUUUUCCUCCAAAAAAUAACUCAAGGGGUGAUGGUGACCAGUGACAAAUGACAAAUGGCAAAUGGCUGGUGACACCAAGUGUAGUAAUGACAAUAUAAGUCAUUGUAGAGUGCAUUGUUGUAUCACAUAUAGCCUACUUUUACAACUUGAAUAACUGGUAUUUUACUGGUUGUUCAUUUAAUAAUUUUAAAAAUUAUUUCUAAUGUAAAAAAAUAAAAUAAAAUGAAAAAAUGAGGAAAUUUAUAAACAAUUAACAUAAAAAUAUUUUUAAUUUAAAUGAGAGUUAAAAAAAGUAAUAUAUGUAAUCAUGUUCCAACUCUUUUGGUUAAAUAUUAGAGUAAUGAUAUAGCCACAAACUCUUGUACAAACUUAUUUUAUACAAACUGAUGUGGCGUUAAUUCAUUGGUUGAAUUAAAUAUCUCUUGGUUCACAUGAUUUAUUUCUAUUAUUUUAUAUUUUUAUUCAACCAAUGAAUUAAUACCACAUCAGUUUGUACAAUAUAAAUUUGUACAAAAGUUUGUGGCUGUAUCAUCACUCUAAAUAUUAACACAUUAGGUUGACAUUCUAAGUUAAUUUUAUAUGUCCUUAAUUUCAGUUAUACUUGUCACUAAUAUGUUUAUUUGUUUCCACUUCUAAAUCCACUAGUUCUAUAUUAGAUAUUCCUACUAAGUUCAUUGAAUACUAAUAUUUUAGGUAAGAUUCCAAGUAAAUUCAUUUCUCAUUAGAUAAGUUCCAAAAUUUAGUUUUGCUUUCUCCCCUUUUAGUUCAUUUGUUUCAACUAUUAUUUACUGCUUUUGCAUUCAAUAUUCCAAUUAACUUAGUAAGAUUUUAGUUAUUUGGGUUAAAUACCAAAUUUUUUUGUUAGAAUGGUUCCUGAUUUUCGUUUAUUUUUCUUUGGACAGCUGAUGAUGAUUUGUAGCAUUGAUGUUUGGUUACAGUGAGAAUGAUAGGUUUUGAGUUAAAUUGAUUAAUGCUUUUGUUCUUGAGGAUGCUUCAUGGUUUUAGUUAAGUGCGUGUAGCUAUGUUCAGGAAUUAUUGCUUAGGGGUGAAUUUGCGGAGAAUUUUGCUGAGAAUUAGCUUGAAAUCCGAGGAUAUGCUUCAUGGAAUCAUGGGUUUGGUUGUGUAACUAAUGGGACUAUUGUGUUUGAAUUCUUUUUAUUAUGACUGGGCUGAAUUUGGUUGAGAUUAGCAUUUAUAUUGAAGCAUGAUUGUUGGUUGUUUACCGAGGUUGGAUAUUUUGAAGAUAUUAAGUUUGUGAAAACUACUAGCUGGUAGUUUAUGGUGGUCUAGAUCGGAUACUGUAGUUUAAGGGAUCAAAAGGUGAGAAUUUUGGAGUUCUAAAUGGUUAACAAAGAAACAGUUAUCUGGAUGUUGAUGGUUCGUUUCCUAUGAUAGAUGAGGCAUACGUGCCCGAGGAGAAUGUAGGAGGCCCCAUUCUGGAGGACCAAUGACCAGAGUCAUUGCAGGAUGGUCCAACAUUAGAGGGGGACUUAAACAGAGCUCGCAAGAAUUAUUGAAAGUAUGCCACGACCAGCCAUUAUGUUCUCUUCAAUGUACCACUAGCAAAACAGGUAAAGUCCAAGCAAGUUCCAAUAAUGUGGAUAGAAGAUGGCUAGGAGGAGGUGGUGCACCCCCAUGAAGACCGGACUGGUUAUAAAAGCUAAUGUUGCGAGCAAGGAAUAUACCAGAACCUGAUUGAUUUGGGUAGUUCAGUCAACAUUCUUUUCAAAGUCACUUUGGAUGAAAUGGGAAUAGCAGACCUGAAAAUGGAGCCCAGCAAUACCUCAUUAAAAGGGUUUGGAGGAAGAAGAUUGAUGCCGAUGGGAGUAGUGGAGCUACUUACCAUUAGUUUGAAGGCCUUUGGAAGAACCAUGAAGUUGGACUUUGUUGUAGUAGAUAAGGACAUCCGAUACCAGAUAAUACUCGAAAGGCCUUUUCUGAGGAUCAGCAAAUCUGUUAUAUCCAACUAUUAUCUGGCACUUAAAUACCAAGUAAAUGGAAUGGUUUGGGAGUUGUAAAGUGCGGCCACUCUUGAUGUUAUUUACAUCCAAAAUCAAUUUUAUGAUAUUAAUACUUUUGGUCAAAUAUUUGCCAUCAAAGAUAAUGAUGGAACUGUUAUACGAGUCACGAAAUUACCUACCGAAUUUAUUGAAGAUGCUGUGGAGUACUUGUAUGUGGUUGAAUCUGAUGAUGGUACAUUAUCUGUGGUUUCACGGAGGGAAGUACAAGUACCACCUACUCAUCUGGGCUACCCAACUGAAGAGAACACUUUCAAAACUUCGGGAUUUCAGGUUUUUGAGGUCGAUCUAAGUACUAAUAAAUGGACGAAUAUCAAGAACUUGAGUAAUAGAUCCCUCUUCUGGGCUUUUAUUCUUCACAAUCUGUUGAUGCAUCGAGGAAUUAUCAGUGUAAACCCAACUGCAUAUAUUUCGCUGAUGAUUUUGUUGACUCCUAUUAGUGCCUGACCAAGGAGGAAUCUGUUGAAGCAGGAGUUAGAGAUACUGGAAUAUAUAAAACGGAAGAUGGAAGCAUCGAGCCGUUCUUUAAAGAGUAAUCCCUUCCAUGCAUUUAAUCCACUUAUGUGAGUUGAACAAUGUUCGUAAUCGUUGGGUUUGGUAUUUAAUUAGUUUUCAAUUCAAUUACUUCAAAUUUUCAGCAGCAACUUUUAGUCUUCAUUGGAGUAACAUUGUUUAUGUUUUAGUCUUCAUUGACAACUUAAUGCUUUGAUUUAUUGGAAUUACUUUUGUUUGUUAUUUGCCUUCAAUUACAAGGUAAUCCAAUUGAUUAUAUAUUCUUGUUUCUACCAAUGUGCAGCCAAUAAAAAUAUCUCCCUAAAAAAUAGCACUGAGCAUUGAAAAGACCAUUACCACAAAUAGCAUAUUGGAACCAACAUACUGUAUUUACCAUAUGUUAUCUAGAUUUUAAUCUUCUCGUGCCAACAAAUUUGCAUUAUAUUACUAGGUCUCCUCAUAUAAAUUGGUUGAUCAAAUGCUCAAUAAGCAUAUCUAAGAGACAUAGAUGUCUGAUUACUCGAUGAAAAUGGGAAUUUUUUUUUUAAUAUUGAGCAAUUAUUGAAUAAGAAAUAAUAUGCAGCUAUAUCUAAUUAUACAUUAUUAUAAAUAGAAAAAUUAUAUUUGGCAGAAAUUCGAUUUACCGAAUUUCUUUGGUUUAAACAAUGGCUGAAACAUGACCAUCCCCCAUCCGGACAAGGAUUGUUUAAUUUUAACAAAAAUAUUGAUUUAAAAAAUUUUAAUAGAUGAAAUUCCGGGCUAAAUAUCAGUGUUCUCAUCGGUUACUCUUUCGGGUUCACUGAAACAUGAACAUGUGAUUCACAAUUACACAUUUACGUAUAGUAAAUCUACUGUUUACAAUUACAUACUCAAAACCAAAACUUUUUACCUUACUCGUUGCUAAGGUUUAUUUUAUUUUCUUAAUCUUCUAUGAUAAAUUUAUUGAAAUAACUAAAAUAUCCAUCAAAUUAUGUAUUAUACAUCAACAUUUUAAUAUAUCUAGGGAUGGUAAAAAUCCCCACGGGGACGGGUACCCUCGGAGAUUUUCCCCAUUCGGGGAGGGUAUGGGGAUAAUUUCAUACCCAAUUUCUUAUUCGAGGAAGGGACGGAAAAAUUUUUUACCCACUUUCUUAUUCGGGGAGGGGACGGGGAUGAGGUGGAAUCCCCAUCCCCUACCCAUUUCCUCAUUUUAAUUUUUAAUUUUAUUUUAAUUUUUUAAAAUUACUAGUAAAUAAAUUAUAAAAUUGUAAAUAUUGAUAAAAAUAAAAAAUAUCAAAAUAUUUAUAUUAUUAAACUUUUAGGCCUAAUUAACUAAUUAAAGUCUUAAAUUUUUAUUUAGGACAUUAAAAAGACCGAGUAGAUUCUAUUAACCCAAAAUUUUUUAAUUUUAAUAUUCUUUAAAUAUUUUAAACUUAAAUCUAUUUUUUAUUUAUUUUUAGAUGUUAUAAUUGCCCACAUCGAAUCACAAUUUUAAUAUCUAAUCUAAUCUAAUCUAAUCUAAUAUUUACUCUUGAUUUGCUCCGAUUUAACUAUUGUGUUGUAAAGGGAAUAGUCCACAUUUAUAAAGUGUCCACGCCACCAUUGAAAAAGUUAAUUUUGAAUCUAAAUUCAAUUUUAUUUGUAACAAUUUUGUAUUAGACUAUUAAUUUGUUCAUGAUAGUUUGUAAAAGAAGUUUGUAUCCCUUGCAUGUUGCGUUACUUACUAAUUUAAUGUAUGUGACUUUUGUAAUGGAUAUUAAUGUAAGAUAUAUUUCGAACUUUACUUUUAUUUGAAUUUUUUAUUUUAAUAUGAUUAACUCAAAAUCGAAAAUAAAAAAAUAUAUAUAUUAGUUAUUCGGGGAUCGGGGACCCUCGGGGAUCCCCUGUUAUUAUUCGGGGAGGGGAUGUGGAUUCUCUCAAGUAAUUCUAACGGGGACGGGGAGAGGACGGGGACAUACGCAAAAUAUCGGGGAUGAAUACGGGGAGAUUGGUCCCCUCCCCUCCCCUCCCCAUUGCCAUCCCUAAAUAUAUCUAAAUUGAGUUGAAAUUCUAAAUUGUUUCUGAUAGAAAAUUCUGGAAGGAUGUUUAUGCCUAAAUAUCUGAGCUAAUUUUUAUGUUCAAAUAAAAAUUAUUUGAAAUUGAAAGCCAAUAAAUUGAAAGCAUAUGAUUUAUUUCCAUUAAGCACCAAGAUUCCUAGAAUAAAGAUAAACCAAUACAUUUCUUUCUCUCCCAUAAGACUUUUUUUAAUUUUUUUAAUUUUUUAAACAAUGAAGAAAAAGAAGAAAUAAAGAUAAUUAAUUAAUUGGGUCCCCAGCAAAUUAGGUGGAGGAGCAUCUCAGCCUUCUCUUGUUGCCUCCUCUUUUUCUUGAUCUGGUCUCCAUUAACCCUCUUGAUACCCUGAUUGUUGUUAUUAAUAUUAUUAACGCCACCAGCAAGACUCCUUACAAUAGAAUUAUUGUUGCCCUUAUUAUAGCCACAAGAUUCUUGCUGCACAUACUUGGUGAAUGCUGAAUCAAACUUGCAAACUCUGCCACCGUUGCUGCUCAUGUCUCUUACUAUACUCUCCUCACCCCCAAAUACUUCUUUUAAUGAUUAUAAACGAUAAAAUAUUCAGUUGGGUGCUGGAAGAAAAAUUGAUGGGCAACUUAUAGAGAGCAGAGAGGUUGUUGAGUUCUUGGACUUUUAAGUGACACUUUGUUCGUUGGAUUGGGGUACUUAUAUAGAGAAAUAACAGAGAGAUGUUAAAAAGGAGGAAUUAAUUAAAAAAAAAAACUGGGGUUCUGUUUGUUUUUCGGGAAAGUGAAACCAUUCGUGGGUUUGGAUCCCAGGCCUAUGGACAGAGAGAUGCUGGUUUUUUUUUUUUUCAAAAAAUAAUUCAAUGGGUGGUGACGAAUGACGAAUGAAAGCUAAGCUUUACUAUAAAAAAAAAAUAAUAAUAACGAAAGACAAGUGACAAAUGGCUGCUGAGCGUAGUAAUGACUAUACGGUUUUGCUGACUUUGUGGGCAAGUACUUUUCAUAAGCACAUGGUUAUCCUUACAGAUUCUGUAACAUACGCACCCAAUGCAUGCACCACACCUGUCCUGCAUAUGGAGAAAAAAGGUGCAAUUAUUUUUAUUUGGUAGCUAGCUAACCAAUCAAAAACUGGCUAAGUUGGAUCUGUAUGUUACAGAAUCUGUAACUUAGCCAGCUCCGCGGUUAUAUAUGUAUACUUACACGAACAACUUUUCUAUUGACGCUUUUGAUCCGCGUCGGCUUUCGGAAUAUGAGAUGUAAUUGAAGCUGGAACUUUUUCUAGAGUGAAAGAGAGGGCUACAAUUACCAUAUUGCCACCAAGAUUAAAUUAUGAAAUAAAUAUUGUAUUGUAGCAAUUUGCCUCCUUUAUUGAAUUAUUGUAAUUGGAAAUUUAUGAUUCUGCAAUCAGUAUUGUCCAAAUAUCACUCAAAAUAAUAGAGAAGAAUCGCAGAGGAUUCAAAUAUUGAAAGUAUUCAGUCUCCACAAUUUACGUUAACUUACUAUUAAAUGCAAUCCGUAGUUUAUGCACGAGAACAGCAUAGUGCAGCUCAGUGGCGGACCUACACCUGGGCACUAGUCCAGAAAAAAUCAUUUAAAUAAUAUAAUUUUGAUUAAUUUAUUUAUGGAUAGAAUUUCUAUUUUAUUUUUAUAUAUGUCCCUAACUUAGUUACCCUUAUGUUUUAUCAAUUUCAUAUAAUAAUAGAAUUUUUAUUUUAUUUUCAAAUAUGUCCCUAACUCAAUUAUAUUAUUUUUCCAACUGAAAUUGGCGACUCAUUUUAUAAAAUGAUUAAAUUAUAUAUUUAUUGAAUGGAUUGAAAACGCUAGGGGUCUAAAAGGUUAUUACUGCUUUAAUCUAUUUUUAAAAAAUUCCAAUUGAAAAGAAAGUAUGUUAAUAUAAUAUAGCAUCGUUACUAGUAUCAAAAUAACUUGAAAAAAACAUAUAGUAACAAUUAUCAACAUUUUUAUAAAUUUUUUAUGUAAAUUUUGAUAUUUUAUUAUUAGAUACGUUAACUAAGAGGACAAGUUAGAAAAUAAAAUUUGAGUAUUUUGAAUAGUUUUUUUAAUAGAAGAAUCAUCAACAUCUAAUUUUUCAAAGAGAGUCAAAGUGCCUCUGGCAAACAAAUAACGGCACCCAAAUACUUUUUUAUUGGGUUGAAUUUAGUUUAGUAUUUAAAAUUUUGACUAAUAAUAUUUUUAAAAUUUAAAAUGAUGAAUAAAUUUUAAUUGUUUAAUUUAUUUAAGCCUGAUAAUUAAGUACUUUUCAAAUAUAAAAGUUCUACUUACAAUUUUUAAUUGAUUGUAAUUACAUACGAUAAAGAAUACAUCUUUUUGUUAAUAAUGAAAAAAUGAAAUGCAAAAUAACUAAUUAAUUGGGAGCCUAGCAAAUAUCCCUCAUUUGUUUUAAUAUUAUUCAUCUCAUCUCCAUUAACCCUCUUGAUAGCCUCAUUAUUGUUAUUGUUAUUAACGCCACCAACUUCAAUUACCAAUUUGCCACCAAUAUUAAAUUACGAAAUAUUGUUGCAAUUUCCCUCAUUGUUUUAAUUAUAUGAUGGCAAAAUUUAUGAUUCUAUUUUUAAUAUAGUCCGAAAAUCAGUCAAAAUAGAAGAAUGUCGUUAUUCAGUUAGUACCCACAUUUUACUUUACAACAUUAUACCCUAAUAAUCUUUGUUUUUUUUUUAAUCGUGAAUUAUUUUUAAAAAAAAUAAUUAAAAGUACAUAGAUGCUCUUUCAUUCACCUUUAUAUUUCAAUUAUCACAAUUCACAAGAUAUAUAUCACCUAUGAAUAAAAGAAUAGUAAUAAAAAUAAUUACAUCAAUAGCUAGUUUUAAAUUUAAAAAGUCUAAUUCAAAUUUUGUCAAUCAAAUAAUACGUUUCAGACCUUUGGAUUUGAGUUCCAUUUUUUUUUUUUUUGGUGAAAUGAUUUGUUGUAGUUGAUGGUCUCUUAGUUAUUGCUGAUGAUCUCUUAGUUUUUGCAUUCGCAGUACCAGCAAAAAGAAAAAGAACCAACAUAAUAAAAAUAAAAAGUAAAAAUAAAAAAGAUUUCAUGCCACCAUGAAGAUAUGUCAUAUUGUGUGUUACGUCAUUUGUGAAAGCAUAAAGGAGAGGUUAAAGUAGAGAAAUGUGGAUUUGAUUUUGUUUAAGGAUAGUUUUUUUUAAGAGGUAUGCGAAAAGAUAAAUUAGAUUCAUAAAUAUUUAAUAGUAUUUUUUCAAAAGAGAGCAUAUUUUUCAUUAAAGAAGUAUAACAGCAUUACAAUGACAUAAAGUCAUGAUUCAUUCAACAUACAUACAUAAGAUCACAUACAAAGCUCAUCUUUUUUAGCUGAGCUUUUAAUGGUCGCCUAAAAAUAAAAGGGCUUUGAUUUCCUCAAUGCAUAUGAAUUGAUAAAGUGAAUUAUCUGAAAGUAACUAGAAAAGGGCUUUUGAUUUCCUUAAUGCAUAUGAUUUUAUAAAGUAAAUUAUCAGUAGCCAGAGCCAUGGCUGAGUAGAGUUGGAUUUAUUUCUUAACUCAAUCAGUUAAAGUUCUUUUAGUAGAGAUAAUAAUAGAUCUAUGUAUGAAGAUGUUCAUUUUAUUGAUGAAUUCUUUACAGAGUAUGAAUUUUCACCAUUAUUGUUGUGCUCUCCAAGUAAUUGAGAGUAGAUCUCUAAUGGUAUGAUUGUGUAGCCCCAGAUGUAACCGUUAAAUCAGCCUUGACUGUACUUUGUACUGUAUGUACAACGUCUGCAGAGAUCAGUUUGUGUUCAAAUGCCCAGCUCCUGGCAUUUUACUUCAUCAACAAGGCACCUAUAGCUUGUCUCAUAAGUUUCUUCUCUAAGGUGGUUAAUUAAACAGUUUCGGGCUUCCUUGCAUUUGUUCUUAAGUUUGUCUAUUCGGCUGGAGUGAGCUGAGGCCCGUGUUGUUCUUUUCUAUACAAUUAUGUGAACGACUUUGCAAUGGGCUAUCUCUUGAGGGGGGAGGUAAAAAGAAAAUUUCUACGGGCCAAGGACAAUUCAAUAGAGGAAUUUAGGUUAUGUUUGGUUUGAAGAAAAUGGAGGAGAGGAAAAGAGUGGAAUGGAGCGAAAGGGAGAAGAACGGAAUGGAGAAAAAUAGUGAAAUUAGAUUUUUGUUGUUUGGUUUGAUAUAAAAUUUGAUAAAGAAAGGAAUUAUAAUUUUUUUUAAAACAAAUUUAUCUUUUACUUUAAAAAUUAAACUAUUUAUGUUAAUAAUAUAUAUAUAUAUAUAUAAUAAAAUGGCAGUCCAGUUGCCAGCGGUGAAGGUCCGGCGAUGUCCGGUGGAGGUCCAACGACUUUUUGGUGAAAGUCCGGCUACAUCCGGCGACUUUCCGGCGGAGGUCUGGUGGAGGUCCAACGACUUCCCGGCAAAAGUUCGGCUACAUCCAGCGACUUCCCAGCAGAGGUCCAUUUAUAAUAUUAAAUCAAUAAAAUAACAUUAUAAAUAAUUAUUAUUACUAGCAUUAAACAAGUUAAAAAGUUGAAGGGUAAUUUUAAUUUUAAAAACUUUAGUUUAUACCAUAAGAGAAAUUUAAAUUCUUCAUUACUAGGUGAAGAAUUCAAAUUCUAUAUUACGAUGGAUAUUAAAUUCUAAUGGAAAUUAAAUUCUUAUAAAUUUUGUCAAACCAAACAAUGAAAAUAAAAAGAGAAUUUAAAUUAUUUUCCUCUCCUCGAUACUCUCCUCCCAACCAAACACCACCUUAAAGUAAUUUUUCUAAAUUUAACAGUACCAUAAAUUUUGUAUAACAAUGGAUAAUUUGAUGCUUCAAGAAAGCAAUAGCUAACAAGAGAAAAAAAGAAGUGAAAUGAUAGUCCAAGAAAUCCCAUUGAAUAGUAUAUCUGUUUACCCAUGGACGGCGCUGGCAACAGUGCCGUUUCUUCUGCUGAAACACUCAAAAGCAAUGACACAAAACACUGCCACCACAAACAUCAAAACAACUCCCUUCAACGUUGCUACAAUUUUUAACAAAUGAAUUAGGCAUUGUUCAAUAGUGUGGUUGGACAAUUAUAUCUUAAAAAUUACAAAAUUAAAGCAUUUAGUAAAUACCUAUAAAUGUGGUUUAGAUGUUAAAUUCUUUUAUUUAGCACUUGUAUGAUAAAAAAAAAAUAUCUAUCAUAUUUCUUACAAUUUUUAUCAAAAUAUUUAUUUAAAAAUGAUAUUCACAAUACACUAAUAACUUUUAUUUCAUAGUUACAAUUUUUUUUUACCGUAACUGUAAUUUUUAACUUACAGCACCUCAAUACCAAACAAAGACUUAGAAUACGCUAUAAGUGUCAAAAGCGGAAUCUUUAGCCCUAUAUCCAUCUUUAGUCUUUUCUUCUAUUAUAUGUUAGCUUAUCUUGCUCUCCACGCAAAUUGUUCAAAAAGUUAAAGCCAUUACUAUUACUCUAGUAAUAGUCACUAAGAGUUCUAUUAUAGAAUUUGAAUGUGAGAAAAGAACAGUUAUACCCUCAAAUUUUGAAAAAAUGGUCGUAGAGAACCCUAAUUUUUUUUAAAUUGAUGUUAAGACUUCCUUUUAACUAUAAUACUCUUUUGAUAGAGUAAUUAAAAAAUAGACUUUAAAUUUUCUUAAUAAAUAUAAACUCAAUAUAAAUAAUAUAAUCUUUCUAGUAAACUAAUAAUAUUAGUAUGUUUUUAAUAUCUAAAACAAUUUAAAUGUGUAAAUUAUUACAUUUAUUUUAAUAAUAUUUUUGUAUUUAUUAUAAAGAUUUUAAAUAAAUAAUUAGGUAUUAGAUGGAACCAUAAUAUUUACUAUAAAUCACUAUAACAAUUUUUUUUUUUUUUUUGUAAAUCCUUAUACGUACGUAAAUCCUCAAAAUAUACUUAACUUACUUGUUGUAUAUGUUGUUUUUCAUUGAUCAUCUUUUGAUUUCUUUGUUCGAGCAUGAAUUCGAGGGAAAAAAAAUUAUCUUAACUUUUAGACAAAUAAAUAAACUAUCUUAAUUUUUAAGAGAAGUCACAUGAAACAUCAGGUAUCCGUAGGCAACUGCGAGUCUGAAUGUAAUAAAUGGAACAUCUCAAGUUUGAUUAGGAAGUCACUUCCUUUCUCCACGUAAGAUUCCUAGUGAUGAAAGAGGACAUUGCUUUCUAAGUAAGACGUGGGUCUCAACGGAUCAUAGCUUUCGUUUUGCAUUUUAGCCCAAGUUGCAUUUGUUGUGCAGAUAAAAUAGGUUGUUGAAUAAAAAAGUAAUUUAGUGUUUGGUAAAUUAUAUUACUGUGAGUUUAAAAAAUAAUGUACGGUUAGCAAAUUUUUAAAGUAUUGUUUUAUUAGGUAAUGACCAAAAUAAACGUAAUUUUAAAUUAUUUUUAUUUUUUAGAGUAUAUUUAAUAAUUUUUAGACAUUUCUUUUUCUUUUUAAAAUACAUAAAGUUACAUAAAGUAAAAAAAAAAUCAAUUAUAUAAAAUUUAAGGAACUUCAUAAUAUGCUACAUAAAAUAUGAUAAAAAUUCAUAUCAAUACAUAAUCCAAAUAAAAAUAAAAAAGUAAUAUGUAUUACAUUCAUAUUUAACUUAUUGCAAUAAACACUUUGUAUGUAGAAAAAAUAUAUAUGAUUGAAUGUUAAAAAUCAAUAGUUAUGAAAUUGAUUUUAAAAGUUGUGGUUAAAUUCCAUUCAAAAUUGUUCAUAGUUUAAAGAAAAUUUACGUAAUCAUAUGUAUGUAAGUCUUAUUAAAUUUUAUAAUAGAAGAUAAAAGUAAAAUAUGAAAAAUAUAAAUUUACCGGAUCAAAACUUUAAAAUUGUAAAGGUAAUUUGAUUAUACUUGUAAUAUGAUAUCUAAUGACUUAUACAUUAGGUAUAUGAAAAAAUAGGACAUAGUUAUCUUUUUGUUAAAAUAUUAAGGUUAUAACAGAAAAUUUUCAAAAGAAUGAUGACUUAUUGAAUAAGUUGUUUAUGAAAAACAAUCAUCUACUUAUUUUUAAAAAUUGUUAUUAAAAUAAAAAAAUUAUAAAAUAAGUAAAUUUUAUAAUUUUUAUCAAAAAUUAUGAAAUAAAAAUUUUAUUAAAUUUGGCCACAAUCGGGGUCUUAGCAUGGCAAAUUUAGUAAGUGAUUAGUGUUUUUUUCCUUGAAAUAAAAAUUAAAUAAAUAAUUAAAAGCUUGUUUAGAAAAGAAAAAAAUAAAUAAAUGAAAAUUAGUUUUGUACUUUCUGGCAAGUCACGUGAAAACUGAAAGUCAGUAGCCAAGCAAGUCUUUCAAGGCAAUCGAAAGAGUCGUCCAUCCCAAAGACUCAGAUCUUGGCCGUUGAAUGUUUCUACAAAUACGUGAGAUUCAUAGUCCGACUGCAAAAGUAAAACCGCUUUCCUUCUCCAAUUAUGAGAAGGUGAGACCAAAGCAGGACCCACCAAAGCAAAUAUAAAUGCCACAGAGAUUUGCUCUAAUUUGCAAUCGUGAAGAGAAGAACAGCCUACUAAAACAAUGGCCUACUCGCCCACAACAUUGCUUCAGGAUUUUGUUCCUUUUGCCGGGGUUCGCACUUUAGAAAGAUCGGCUACAGUUCCUUGGCGUACGCUUCCCCCUAAAAAAUAUUCAAUUCGUUUCUCCAACUCCAAGCGGCGCUGGAAAUCGGCAUCGGCAUCGGCUGCGGUUUCAGAUAAACGUAGCAAGUGCAAUCCUUUGCUUAUGCUGCCGCCCAAAAACGGUUCCAUUAGUUUCUUGGAUCUUGCGAAGGGCAGCAGCAGCAGCCUCCUCCGAGUAAAUUUACCUGAAGAUCCUUACCCUGAAAAGUAUGAAAACGGUAGGUACUUUUCUUCACGGGGUUGGCUUAUUAAAUUUAUCGAUUCAUGCAUCAGUCCCAAUUAUAUGACUCUUGUGCAUCCUUUUUCACGCCUUCAACUUAAACUGCCUUCCAUCGAAACCUUGGUAGCUUCUGAUCCGUAUGAGCAUAAUCGGCAUUGUGAAGAGGGUUGCUUUAUUACUUUCAUAUUAACCAAAUGCGUAUUAUCUUCGUCCAACCCCGAUUCAUUACAAGCCAUGCUUCUUUACGGAAGAGACGGGAAUUUGGGCUGCGCUAGGCCAGGCGAUCAAGUUUGGAGAAAAAUUAACACGUCUAAUAAUGCUAAACAUUUUGUUGAUGCUAUUUACUUCCAAAAUCAAUUUUAUGCUAUCAAUGCUUUUGGUCAAAUAUUUGCCGUCAAAGAUGAUGACAGUACUGCUACACGAAUCGCGGAAUUACCUGCCGAAUUUAUUGAAGAUGUUGUGGAGUAUUUGUAUAUGGUUGAGUCUGAAGAUGGCACAUUAUUUGUGGUUUCAAGGAGGGGAGUACAAGUACCACCUACUCAUCUAGGCUACCUAACGGAGGAGAACACUUUCAGAACGUUGGGGUUUCAGGUUUUUGAGGUCGAUCUAAGUACUAAUAAAUGGUCGAAGAUCCAGAAUUUGGGUAACAGAUCCCUCUUUUUGGGUUUUAAUUCUUCACUGUCUGUUGACGCAUCAAGUAAUUCUCAGUGUAAACCCAAUUGCAUAUAUUUCACUGAUGAUUUUGUCGACUCUUAUUGGUACCUGGCCGCCGAGGAAUACGUUGAAGCAGGAGGUAAAGAUACUGGAAUUUAUAACAUGAAGGAUGGAAGCAUUGAGCCAUUCUUUGAGACCGAUCCCUUCCAUCCAUUUAAUCCACUUAUGUGGCUUGAACAAUGGUCUUAGUCGUUGGGUUUGGUCUUCAGUUUUCAUUUCAAUUACUUUAGAGUUUCGGUAUAUCAUUGUCCCUGUUUUAAAUAGAUUAAUUUGGAAUGACAUUUGUUUUAUGUUUGGUUUCGUUGACUACUUUAAUGCUUGGUUUAUUGGAAUUAAUUUUGUUCGUGAUUUGCCUCCAAUUACAAGGUAUUAACCAUCCUAGUUUCUAUCAACGUGCAGCCAAUCAAAAUAUCUUCCUAGAAAAUAGAACUGAGCAUUGCAAAAAAACCAUUACUCCAUAUUUUAAUCUUAUAGUGCCAAAAAAUUUGCAUUACUAGGUCUUCUCUUACAAAUGUGUUGAUCAAAUACUUCGUAACAAUAUCUAAGAGACACAUAUGUCUCAUUACUGCUAAAAAAUUAUUUUUUUAAUAAUAUUAUGAUUCUGUUUGGGAUUAGUAAAAGUUGGCCGCUAGUUGUUUGGAAGAUAUAUUAAUAUGAUUUUUUACUUUUAUAAUGAAACAUAUAUUAUAUUUUUAAAAAUUAUUUAAAAGUUAUAUUUAUUAUAUACUAUUAACUUUUAUUUUAUAAUUAUAGUUUUUUUUAAAUAGUUGUAAUUUAAAAAUUAUCGCAUUUCAAUCACAAAGAGGACCUAUAUUAGGUAAUUAUUGAAUAAGAAAUAAUAUGUAGUUAUAUCUAAUUAUACAUUAUUAUAAAUAGAAAAAUGAUAUUGAUAUUUUGCCUGAAAUUCGAUUUACUAAAUUUCUUUUGCCAACACCGAGUUUCUUUUGUCUGGACAAUUACUGUGGCAGGACCAUCUCCCAAUUCGGAGGAUGAUUGUUUAAUUAAUUUAGAUAAUUUUAAUACAUGAAAUUUCACAAUGUCAUUAUUCUUUUCGUUUACUCUUCUAUUUUCUUAUCAUGCCUUCGGGGUUCCUGAAAUCUAAACAUUUAAUCCACAACUAUACUUUUACAGGCAGUAAAUCCACUGUUUACAAUAUCAUUCACAAAACGAAGACUUUUUACUCUACUCGUUGCUAAGCUUUAAUUUAUUUUAUUUUUUUAAUCUUCUAUGAUAAAUUUAUUGAAAUUACUAAAAUAUCCAUCAAAUUAUAUAUUUUACAUCAAAUUUUUAGUAUACCUAAAUUGAGUUGAAAUUCUAGAUUGUUUCUAAUAGAAAAUUAUGGAAGGAUGUUUGGAUGUGAAUGACCUUUUUUUUUUAAUGCCUAAAUAUCGGAGCUAAUAUUUAUGUUUAAAUAAAAAUCAUUUGAAAUUGAAAAUCCAAUACAUUGAAAGCAUAUGAUUUAUUUCCAUAAGCACCAAGAUUCCUAUAAUAAAGAUAAACCAAUACAUCUCUUUCUCUCCCGUAUGAUUUUUUUUUUAAAUAAUGAAGAAAAAGAAGAAAUACAAAUAAUAAAUUAAUUGGGUCCCCAGCAAAUUAGGUGGAAGAGCAUCUCAGCCUUCUCUUGUUGCCUCCUUUUUUUCUUGAUCUCAUCUCCAUUAAACCUCUUGAUACCCUGACUGUUAUUAUUAUUACUAACGCCACCAGCAAGACUCCUUACAAUAGAAUUAUUGUUGCCCUUAUUAUAGCCACAAGAUUCUUGCAGCACAUACUUGAUGAAUGCUGAAUCAAACUUGCAAACUCUACCACCGUUGCUGCUCAUGUCUCUUGCUACACUCUCCUCACCCCAAAACACUUCUUUUAAUGAUUAUAAACGAUAAACUAUUAAGUUGGGUUCCGGAAGAAAAAUUGAUGGGCAACUUAUAGAGAGUAGAGAGGUUGUUGAGUUCUUGGACUUUUAAGUGACACUUUGUUCGUUGGAUUGGGGUACUUAUAUAGAGAAAUAAUAGAGAGAUGUUAAAAAGGAGGAAUUAAUUAAAAAAAAAAACUGGGGUUCUGUUUGUUUUUCGGGAAAGUGAAACCAUUCGUGGGUUUGGAUCCCAGGCCUAUGGACAGAGAGAUGCUGGUUUUUUUUUUUUUUUUGGUUUCAAAAAAUAAUUCAAUGGGUGGUGACUAAUGACGAAUGACAAAUGGCUGCUGAGUGGAGUGAUGACUAUACGGUUUUGCUGAC